GAUAAUAAUACGUUAAAAGUCUUUAUACUUUUUUCUUUCCUUCUAAGAAUAAUAACUCAAAUAUGCAGACAAUGCCCAAAAGGCGACAGUUUUAUCCCAGUAUAUAUUACCAAAUAAGGAAGACCAAAAAAAACUUGCUGCAGGAAAAGAAACAAAACAAAGGGAGAACAAUAUCUUUGAAGAUUUUGGACCUCCACUGAGAUGAGGCCGACUCUGAGGACUCUGAGAAUCCUGAGGCAUCUAGAGAUCUACCAGCUCCAGUCAGACUCUGCGAUAAUAAAAAGGAGAUGUGCUCUCCAUGUGGAACUCCAUGUGGUCUUUUGCAUCUAUAUAACAUCUGUUUGACUGUAUUUUUAUAAUCACACCCUCCAGUGUCACCCAUAUGAGGAUGGGUUCCCCUUGAAUCUGGUUCCUUUCAAGGUUUCUUCCUUUACCAUCUCAUGCCCCUUUUCCAGUUUGAGUGCUGGUUCGGUUCAGAGCCAGAGCCUAAUUUAGAACCAGUUCUUUCUUUUUCGACAUCCAAAGCACUGGCUCUUAAUCAGCACAUUGUUAGCGCAUUUGAUAAUGUACCUUAAGUAUACUAAUGUUUAAUACACUUUUACUUUACCGCGAUAUGAUACAUUAUCAGCACACAUGAUAGUAAG